GAUGAACGCUGGCGGCGUGCCUAAUACAUGCAAGUCGAGCGAACAGACGAGGAGCUUGCUCCUCUGACGUUAGCGGCGGACGGGUGAGUAACACGUGGAUAACCUACCUAUAAGACUGGGAUAACUUCGGGAAACCGGAGCUAAUACCGGAUAAUAUAUUUAACCGCAUGGUUCAAUAGUGAAAGACGGUUUUGCUGUCACUUAUAGAUGGAUCCGCGCCGCAUUAGCUAGUUGGUAAGGUAACGGCUUACCAAGGCAACGAUGCGUAGCCGACCUGAGAGGGUGAUCGACCACACUGGAACUGAGACACGGUCCAGACUCCUACGGGAGGCAGCAGUAGGGAAUCUUCCGCAAUGGGCGAAAGCUUGACGGAGCAACGCCGCGUGAGUGAUGAAGGUCUUCGGAUCGUAAAACUCUGUUAUUAGGGAAGAACAAAUGUGUAAGUAACUAUGCACGUCUUGACGGUACCUAAUCAGAAAGCCACGGCUAACUACGUG
rnacentral:rRNA from 1 species